rnacentral:rRNA from 1 species
UACGUAGGGGGCAAGCGUUGUCCGGAAUCAUUGGGCGUAAAGAGCGUGUAGGCGGCUCGGUAAGUCCGCUGUGAAAGUCCAGGGCUCAACCCUGGAAUGCCGGUGGAAACUGUCGAGCUUGAGUCCGGAAGAGGCGAGUGGGAUUCCUGGUGUAGCGGUGAAAUGCGCAGAUAUCAGGAGGAACACCAAUGGCGAAGGCAGCUCGCUGGGACGGUACUGACGCUGAGACGCGAAAGCGUGGGGAGCAAACAGG